rnacentral:lncRNA from 1 species
UUUGGCUUUCUGAGCAGUACCAUGGUGGAGGGAAGAACAAGCACCUUACAAAAGGCGGCAAGAAGGGAGCCAAGAAGAAAGUGGUUGAUACAUUUUCUAAGAAAGAUUGGUAUGUUGUGAAAGCACCGGCAAUGUUCUAUGUAAGAAAUAUUGGAAAAACAUUAGUUACCAGGAUUCAGGAAACCAAAAUUGCAUCUGAUAGCCUCAAGGGUCAGGGGUUUGAAGUGAGUCUUGCUGAUCUUCAGAAUGAUGAACUGCGUUUAGGAAGUUCAAGCUAAUUACUGAGGGCGUUCAGGGAAAAAACUGCCUGACCAACUUCCAUGGCAUGGAUCUUACUGACAAAAUGUGUUCCUUGGCCAAAAAAUGGCAGACGAUGAUCAAGGCUCAUGUUGAUGUCAAGACUACCGAUGGAUAUUUGCUGCAUCUAUUCUGUGUUGGUUUUACUAAAAACCUCAGCAAUCAGAUACGGAAGACUUCCUAAGCUCAGCACUAGAG